CUCCUCUGUUGCUGCUUGGCCUGCUGUGUUCAUCCAGCUCUACACCUUGUUAUCUCAGAUUCUCCAGCAUCUGCAGUUCCUACUAUCUCAGAGAAUUGUGGAUGUUUAAAGACUACAGUUACACCCAAUAAUAACUCAGAGGGUGUUCUGGGCCAGCAAAUUCCCAGUGACUUAUACUCAACUUAAAUGUUUUAGUGAAUUUGUUUAUUAACAUCUCCUGUACAAUGCUGAGAUAUCAUGAUCAAGCUUUGUGCUUAACUCCAGAUUAGUUAUGCAUGUCUCAAGGUGAUUUUAUUUAGGCAAUCAGGAUCACAAUAGAAGUAAACCUUCUCACAUUGCUGACUGCUAAGCCUCAAUUUACUGAAAGUGCAAUCUUGAAAUUCAUACCCAUUGUUCCUAUGUCCAGUUUUUCUUUAAAUGUGGUACCUGAACAAAUCAGUAAAAAAAUUUAAUGAAACCUAUUGAACUUCACAAUAGAAUAAAUAUUGUCAGCAUCGGAUAGGCACAAAUAAGAUUAAAAUGAUAGAAAAUUAAACGAAGAGGGCAGAUAGUGAAUUAGAAUGUUUAAAAUAUUUUAGUUUUUAAAUUAUAAAACAAAUCUUAUUUUCCCUUUUUAGGGUCAAAAUUUAUACUUGAAAAUUCUCAAAAAAAAACUUUUUUGAAGUAUUGUAAUUUGCAUUUUUCCUGUAUUUGGAUCAAACUAUUGGAUGCAAUUUGCUGCUAGCAAGUAUAUUCUGACCAGAGAAAGCAUAUGUGUAGCAAAUAAAAUCUUAUAAAUAAAUGCUCACAUAUCUUUUCACAAAGUAUAAUUCUAAAAGAGUUUGCAUGCAUCGUUAUCUGCAUCUGCAAUGUUUCCUACCCCGUGAAACUUUGAUACUCUGCCUAUUAAUGCUGCCUUUUCAUUUAGUGAGAUGAGGUGAUACUUGUGCUAGGCAGGAAAAGCAAUUGCUUUCAUCAGUAUACCUGGAUGUCUGUCGAUCCUGGUGCUUUAUUGUUUGUUUAAUUUUAAAUCCAUCAUUCACAGAAUAUUUGUUGAGAUUAAACUAGAUUAACUAAUUGAUGUCAGAAGAUUUGAAUUUAAGUAGCAGAAUGAGAAUUUCUUCAUGCCACCCCGCUGUGGCAAAAUUUAAAUUUUAGCUGAUGGUUGUACCUGUAGGCUGCUGGACCCUUACAAGUCUUCAGUGACUGUCACAUGAGAAAAACUACAUCCAAGAACAGGUUGAUCCUUACCAAUAGUGGAUAGUGUGUAUCAGAGUUGGCACCCCUCUACUAUAAUUGGCACAAAGCUGUUAGAUAUUGCACACACAGUAUGUGUAAUAUGCAGACACUGUGUGGUUGUCCACCAAUAUGAAAAAGCCUUUUUAGGAUUAUGGCUUCUAAUUGUAAACUAUUCCAUUAAAAAAUGCAGAUGUCUGACCAGGAAAGUACUGUUUGAGCAGAAUGGGGAAAGUUAAUGAUUCUGAUUCUACUGUGCAAGAGCAGGACUCGAACCAGCCUGUGGAGUUAAUGCCUGCUGCAGGGAACUUGGAACUCGGAAAACAUGAGCAGCAAGACAUUGACAAUGACUCAGAGAGCACUGCUUUGUGAAGGGUCCCGACACUCCACCGUUUGCACCGCUAAGCUAUCCUCUUAGAAGCUUAAUUCUGCUGCUGUCAAAAGGAUAUGCCAGCUACAAAAAAAAUCAAGAAAGGAAAUAAAACUCUCUUGGUUAUUUUCUGCUAGAUGUACUCGCGUUGCAUGGAAUAUGAUUGAAGAUUUCAUCAGUGCCACUAUCAUGGUCCCAUCAAUGCCACUAUCAUGAUGUAAUCAAUGCCACUGUCAUGGAUUCAUCAAUGCCACUAUUAUGGUCUCCAAACUGAUCCAAUGCUUUGUUUGUAGUUCAGACAGGAGAUUCUUCUGAAAGACAUUCACUCAUUGCAGGAAACUGUGAUUAUAUGAGAAACAGUUCCCCUUUGGGAGUUUGACUGUGGGUUAACAGCCAAUCAUUUGGUUACAUUUGGGUUUAUAGUGCCUUAUUCAAUUGUCACCAAGUUUCUGGAUGGAAACUCACUGUGGUCAUAUUUUCUUCCUUUCUUUUAAAUAUUGUACUCUGAGCAGUAUCCAGAUUUUGUACAAGUUAAUUAUUUCUGUGUUGAAAUAAACACAUACAAGAAAAUGGUACUGGACUGAGACAGUCUGCUCAAUCUGUACAUUUGUAUUUAUCCUAAUGCAUUUGCUUGUAAGAUUAAUGCUAAACCAAUUGUACUUGGUUGGUAUUCACUUUGCUAUGUUCUUCUGUUUAACAUAAAGUGCACUUCUUGCCUUAGGCCUUGUUUUGCAUUCAAGGCAGUUUUAUAACUGAUUAAAUCUGAAUAAAUGACACUGUUUUCAUUAGUCUGAAAAUCUGUUAUGAAUUAUAAACAAAAAUGCAUUCUGAAGAAAGUGUACAAAUUCCAUACAUGUAUUAAGGAAAUAAAAUACACCACUAAGCUGGUUGCUUGUGGGCAUGGACUCUG